GAAUAUUGGACAAUGGGGGGAACCCUGAUCCAGCCAUGCCGCGCGUGUGAAGAAGGCCUUUUGGUNGUAAAGCACUUUAAGCGGGGNGGAGGCUACCGAGAUUAAUACCCUUGGAUAGUGGACGUUACUCGCAGAAUAACCACCGGCUAACUCUGUGCCAUCAGCCGCGGUAAUACAGAGGAUGCAAGCGUUAAUCGGAUUUACUGGGCGUAAAGCGGGCGUAGGUGGCCAAUUAAGUCAAAUGUGAAAUCCCCGAGCUUAACUUGGGAAUUGCAUUCGGUACUGGUUGGCUAGAGUAUGGGAGAGGAUGGUAGAAUUCAAGGUGUAGCGGUAAAUGCGUAGAGAUCUGGAGGAAUACCGAUGGCGAAGGCAGCCAUCUGGCCUAAUACUGACACUGAGGUGCGAAAGCAUGGGGAGCAAACAGG
rnacentral:rRNA from 1 species